GUUUGCCUACGGGGCGCAGCAGUGGGGGAUAUUGCACAAUGGGGGGAACCCUGAUGCAGCGACGCCGCGUGGGUGAAGAAGCGCCUCGGCGCGUAAAGCCCUGUCAGCAGGGAAGAAAAUGACGGUACCUGAAGAAGAAGCCCCGGCUAACUACGUGCCAGCAGCCGCGGUAAUACGCAGGGAGCGAGCGUUGUCCGGAUUUACUGGGGGUAAAGGGGGCGUAGGCGGCCCUGCA
rnacentral:rRNA from 1 species